GACGAACGCUGGCGGCGUGCUUAACACAUGCAAGUCGAACGGAGAAUUUAUUUCGGUAAAUUUUUAGUGGCGAACGGGUGAGUAACGCGUGGGCAACCUGCCCUUCAGAUGGGGACAACAUCCCGAAAGGGGUGCUAAUACCGAAUACGAUCACGCUGCCGCAUGGCGGUGUGAUGAAAGAUGGCCUCUAUUUAUAAGCUAUCGCUGAAGGAUGGGCCUGCGUCUGAUUAGCUAGUUGGUGGGGUAACGGCCUACCAAGGCGAUGAUCAGUAGCCGGUCUGAGAGGAUGAACGGCCACAUUGGGACUGAGACACGGCCCAAACUCCUACGGGAGGCAGCAGUGGGGAAUAUUCCGCAAUGGACGAAAGUCUGACGGAGCAACGCCGCGUGAGUGAUGAAGGUUUUCGGACUGUAAAACUCUGUUGUUUAGGACGAAAGUGCCUGUUGCAAAUAGUUGCAGGUAUUGACGGUACUUAACGAGGAAGCCACGGCUAACUACGUGCCAGCAGCCGCAGUAA
rnacentral:rRNA from 1 species